rnacentral:rRNA from 2 species
ACAGGGAUUGCCCUAGUAACGGCGAGUGAAGCGGCAACAGCUCAAAUUUGAAAUCUGGCUCUUUUAGAGUCCGAGUUGUAAUUUGCAGAGGGCGCUUUGGCUUUGGCAGCGGUCCAAGUUCCUUGGAACAGGACGUCACAGAGGGUGAGAAUCCCGUACGUGGUCGCUGGCUAUUGCCGUGUAAAGCCCCUUCGACGAGUCGAGUUGUUUGGGAAUGCAGCUCUAAAUGGGAGGUACAUUUCUUCUAAAGCUAAAUAUUGGCCAGAGACCGAUAGCGCACAAGUAGAGUGAUCGAAAGAUGAAAAGCACUUUGGAAAGAGAGUCAAACAGCACGUGAAAUUGUUGAAAGGGAAGCGCUUGCAGCCAGACUUGCUUACAGUUGCUCAUCCGGGCUUUUGCCCGGUGCACUCUUCUGUAGGCAGGCCAGCAUCAGUUUGGGCGGUAGGAUAAAGGUCUCUGUCACGUACCUCCUUUCGGGGAGGCCUUAUAGGGGAGGCGACAUACUACCAGCCUGGACUGAGGUCCGCGCAUCUGCUAGGAUGCUGGCGUAAUGGCUGUAAGCGGCCCGUCUUGAAACACGGACCAAGGAGUCUAACAUCUAUGCGAGUGUUUGGGUGUCAAGCCCGAGCGCGUAAUGAAAGUGAACGGAGGUGGGAACCCGCAAGGGUGCACCAUCGACCGAUCCUGAUGUCUUCGGAAGGAUUUGAGUAAGAGCAUGGCUGUUGGGACCCGAAAGAUGGUGAACUAUGCUUGAAUAGGGUGAAGCCAGAGGAAACUCUGGUGGAGGCUCGCAGCGGUUCUGACGUGCAAAUCGAUCGUCAAAUUUGGGCAUAGGGGCGAAAGACUAAU